CACGCUGUAAACGAUGAGUGCUAGGUGUUGGGUAGCGAUACUCAGUGCCGCAGUAAACACACUAAGCACUCCGCCUGGGGAGUACGUACGCAAGUAUGAAACUCAAAGGAAUUGACGGGGACCCGCACAAGCAGCGGAGCAUGUGGUUUAAUUCGAAGCAACGCGAAGAACCUUACCAAGGCUUGACAUCCCCUUGACCGGUGCAGAGAUGUACCCUCCUCUUCGGAGGCAAGGGUGACAGGUGG
rnacentral:rRNA from 1 species